rnacentral:rRNA from 1 species
AGAGUUUGAUCAUGGCUCAGAACGAACGCUGGCGGCGUGCCUAACACAUGCAAGUCGUACGAGAAACACGACCUUCGGGUUGUGGAGUAAAGUGGCGCACGGGUGAGUAACACGUGGGUAACCUGCCCCAUGGACCGGGAUAACUGGCCGAAAGGCCCGCUAAUACCGGAUAAGACCACAUGAGCUUCGGCUCAAGGGGUCAAAGUCGGCCUCUCGAUGAAGCCGGCACCAAGGGAGGGGCCCGCGGACCAUUAGCUUGUUGGUAGGGUAACAGCCUACCAAGGCUGAGAUGGUUAGCUGGUCUGAGAGGAUGAUCAGCCACACUGGAACUGAGAUACGGUCCAGACUCCUACGGGAGGCAGCAGUGAGGAAUAUUGCGCAAUGGAGGCAACUCUGACGCAGCAACGCCGCGUGGGUGAAGAAGGCUUUCGGGUUGUAAAGCCCUGUCAGGUGGGAAGAACCCUCUAUAGGUGAAUAGUCUAUGGAGCUGACGGUACCACCAAAGGAAGCACCGGCUAACUCCGUGCCAGCAGCCGCGGUAAGACGGAGGGUGCAAGCGUUGUUCGGAAUCACUGGGCGUAAAGCGCGUGUAGGCGGUCCGGUAAGUCGAGUGUGAAAGCCCGAGGCUCAACCUCGGAAGUGCACUCGAAACUGUCGGGCUUGAGUACGGGAGAGGGAAGCGGAAUUCCUGGUGUAGAGGUGAAAUGCGUAGAUAUCAGGAGGAACACCGGUGGCGAAGGCGACUUCCUGGACCAAUACUGACGCUGAGGCGCGAAGGCGUGGGGAGCAAACAGGAUUAGAUACCCUAGUAGUCC